AACGGAAAGGCCUCUUCGGAGGUACUCGAGUGGCGAACGGGUGAGUAACACGUGGGUAAUCUGCCCUGCACUUCGGGAUAAGCCUGGGAAACUGGGUCUAAUAUCGAAUAGGACCAUUUAGCGCAUGCUUUAUGGUGGAAAGCUUUUGCGGUGUGGGAUGGGCCCGCGGCCUAUCAGCUUGUUGGUGGGGUGACGGCCUACCAAGGCGACGACGGGUAGCCGGCCUGAGAGGGUGUCCGGCCACACUGGGACUGAGAUACGGCCCAGACUCCUACGGGAGGCAGCAGUGGGGAAUAUUGCACAAUGGGCGCAAGCCUGAUGCAGCGACGCCGCGUGGGGGAUGACGGCCUUCGGGUUGUAAACCUCUUUCAGCAGGGACGAAGCGCAAGUGACGGUACCUGCAGAAGAAGCACCGGCCAACUACGUG
rnacentral:rRNA from 1 species